rnacentral:rRNA from 1 species
AAUCAAACUCGGUGAUAGCUGGUUCUCCCCGAAAGCUAUUUAGGUAGCGCCUCGGACGAACACCAUUGGGGGUAGAGCACUGUUUCGGCUAGGGGGUCAUACCGACUUACCAAACCGAUGCAAACUCCGAAUACCGAUGAGUGAUAUCCGGGAGACACACAGUGGGUGCUAACGUCCAUUGUGGAGAGGGAAACAACCCAGACCGCCAGCUAAGGCCCCAAAUUCCUAGUUAAGUGGGAAACGAGGUGGGAAGGCAUAGACAGCUAGGAGGUUGGCUUAGAAGCAGCCAUCCUUUAAAGAAAGCGUAAUAGCUCACUAGUCGAGUCGGCCCGCGCGGAAGAUGUAACGGGGCUCAAACUAGGAGCCGAAGCUGCGGAUUUGAAUUUGUUUUCAAGUGGUAGGGGAGCGUUGUGUAAGCCUGUGAAGGUGUGUCGUAAGGCAUGCUGGAGGUAUCACAAGAGCGAAUGCUGACGUGAGUAACGAUAAUGCGAGUGAAAAGCUCGCACGCCGGAAGAUCAAGGGUUCCAGUCCAACGUUAAUCGGGG